GCUUACGGCCACACCUCCCUGAGCACGCCCGAUCUCGGAAGCUAAGCAGGGUCGGGCCCGGUUAGUACUUGGAUGGGAGACCGCCUGGGAAUACCAGGUGCCGUAAGCC
ensembl:rRNA 5S_rRNA 5S ribosomal RNA